CCUACGGGUGGCAGCAGUCGAGAAUCAUUCACAAUGGGGGAAACCCUGAUGGUGCGACGCCGCGUGGGGGAAUGAAGGUCUUCGGAUUGUAAACCCCUGUCAUGUGGGAGCAAAUUAAAAAGAUAGUACCACAAGAGGAAGAGACGACUAACUCUGUGCCAGCAGCCGCGGUAAUACAGAGGUCUCAAGCGUUGUUCGGAAUCACUGGGCGUAAAGCGUGCGUAGGCUGUUUCGUAAGUCGUGUGUGAAAGGCGCGGGCUCAACCCGCGGACGGCACAUGAUACUGCGAGACUAGAGUAAGGGAGGGGGAACCGGAAUUCGCGGUGUAGCAGUGAAAUGCGUAGAUAUCGAGAGGAACACUCGUGGCGAAGGCGGGUUCCUGGACAUUAACUGACGCUGAGGCACGAAGGCCAGGGGAGCGAAAGGGAUUAGAUACCCCUGUAGUC
rnacentral:rRNA from 1 species